GAGGGCUGUGCUGGUGGCCGUCGUGCUGAUGCAGUGCUGCAACGUGAUGAUCGUCGCGGCGAGGCCGUUUCUGAUGGAGGCACCCGUGGUAGCGACGACAGAAGACGGCGGCUGGCUGGGGAUGAUCAUGCAGGUACUAAAAGGCGGGCCGGGCGGCAACAACCACAACUGCCAAGCUCCCAACGGAUCGUGCCCCUGAUAAACUUGCCGGGGCGGCGGCUGGGUGGCAAAGCUCCCGGCCACCCGCCGUAAACUUGCCGGGGCGGCGCCUCCAUCAACAACGUACUGGAUGCACGCAUGCAGGCUCUUUGCUGAUCAGUGACCAAGAUAGGCUGGAUGCGAUUUUGUUAAUUUUAUUUAGGCGUUAAUUAGCAUACAUGUAC
rnacentral:lncRNA from 1 species